ACGUUAGCGGCGGACGGGUGAGUAACACGUGGGUAACCUACCUAUAAGACUGGGAUAACUUCGGGAAACCGGAGCUAAUACCGGAUAAUAUUUCGAACCGCAUGGUUCGAUAGUGAAAGAUGGUCUUGCUAUCACUUAUAGAUGGACCCGCGCCGUAUUAGCUAGUUGGUAAGGUAACGGCUUACCAAGGCGACGAUACGUAGCCGACCUGAGAGGGUGAUCGGCCACACUGGAACUGAGACACGGUCCAGACUCCUACGGGAGGCAGCAGCG
rnacentral:rRNA from 1 species